rnacentral:rRNA from 1 species
UACGUAGGUGGCAAGCGUUAUCCGGAAUUAUUGGGCGUAAAGCGCGCGCAGGUGGUUUCUUAAGUCUGAUGUGAAAGCCCACGGCUCAACCGUGGAGGGUCAUUGGAAACUGGGAGACUUGAGUGCAGAAGAGGAAAGUGGAAUUCCAUGUGUAGCGGUGAAAUGCGUAGAGAUAUGGAGGAACACCAGUGGCGAAGGCGACUUUCUGGUCUGCAACUGACACUGAGGCGCGAAAGCGUGGGGAGCAAACAGGA